rnacentral:misc_RNA from 1 species
UCGAAUUGAACUUUUGGCUGGGUGCUUGUUGUGCUGGUCCUUUGGGGCAACGUGAACGCAAGUCGCUGGUCAUUUUGUUUAUUCUUUUUCCACCUGUGCACUGCCUUGUAGACCUAGUGUCUAUGACAUGUUUAUAAACAAACACAUGUAUGCGAUAUAGUUGGAAUCUUUUAUAAUAAAUAAUA